GUAGGCAGUGAGCGCAGGUUAAAAAAGGAAAGUGAAUCUGGUUCCUGAGUUUGAGAAACUCAUGACGCAUCCAGGUAGAGACUUAAAAUACUUGGAAGAGCAAUCUGCCUGAAAAUAGAGAUUUGGAAGACAUCAGCAAAUAGGCGGUAGUGGAAACAAGGAAGUGAACGCUCAGAAAAGUAGUGGAUAGAGAGCUCAUGUAGUGCGUAGAGAGCUCAUGUAGUGGGUGGAGAGCUCAUGUAGUGGGUAGAGAGCCAGGAAGUGCAGACUCGGGAGUGGACGGGGAAGGGAGGGAGAUGAGGGGCCAGAGAAAGUUUCAAGAAGGAGAAAAGUAUAAUUCUUCAGAAAGGUUGAUAAAUCACGGUGCUGACCUCUUUUCCCCUCCUGCUGUUUGGAGACGUCUGGGCCCUCAUUUAGUGCUUCCUUUCGGAGGACGCUGGGCCUUCCAGGACUGUGUGACCCGCCCAGCAUGGAUGCUGAUCUGCGCUCCUGAAAUGACCUUAUUCUUCACAGAUGAAAAUCGUCAGACAGGAUCCAUGGCCGAUUCACCUUGAUCUUUCCAAGAAUAUCGUGUUUCUUCAUUUUUACACUAGAUGUUCAUGUUUAACACACACAAACUGUUCAAUAAGUAUUUUAGUGUGUUAAUAAAAGGAGGCUCACUGGACCCAACAGAACGACAUGUAAUGGAGUCCAACAGUGCAACACAACAUCCCAAGGAAAGAUUGACCAAUGGAGCUGUGGAAGAACAAGAAUCCAGCUGGCCCCUUGGAACAACUGGGACCAAAAGUUUCAACAUCUUCAGGACUCUCUUUCAAUCCCUAGGUCCUCUGUUGGCCUCAUUCCUAUUCCCCACAAUUAGCUGUGUCUACACGCAAAAAACAUGGCUCCCCAAGUAACACUUAACAACUUCUGCCUCCAAAGAGGGACUCCCCAUCUUCCCUAGUCUCACACAGGGCUGUCGUUCAGCCAGCAUGCCCUGGUUUUGGACACUGACGAUCAACCCUGGAAUUAGUUUCAAAUAUCCCAGGGAAGGGAAUCGUUGGUGUUACCUUUCAUUCAAUAAACUACAGGCAGGGGGCCAGGUUCCUUAAGAGCAUGGCUGCUCCCACAAACAUCACAGGUUUGAUGUGAUGGAAGAUACACUUCCCAAGAAUAAGGGUUGGUACUGGGAAGAUGACUUCUAUAUGUGUAGUUCUGGCUUUCAUCUUCCAAAAUGGUAAAAUACAGUAACUUUUUAAAGGAAAAGAAAAAAAUCGAAGGUACUCAAAAUCAUCUUUCUUUCUCAAUUUUAUUUCUACUCUCUCUCCAUUAGAAUGCACUUCAGCAUGUAUGUGCUAAGUCACUUCAGUCAUGUCCAACUUUGUGUGACCCUACGGACUGCAGCCUGCCAGGCGCCUCUGUCCAUGGGAUUCUCCAGGCAAGAAUCCUGGAGUAGGUUGCCAUGCCCUCCUCC
ensembl:lncRNA